rnacentral:rRNA from 1 species
GGACACGUGAAAUCCUGUCUGAAGAUGGGGGGACCAUCCUCCAAGGCUAAAUACUCGUAAUCGACCGAUAGUGAACCAGUACCGUGAGGGAAAGGCGAAAAGAACCCCGGGAGGGGAGUGAAAUAGAACCUGAAACCGUGUGCAUACAAACAGUCGGAGCCUCGCAAGGGGUGACGGCGUACCUUUUGUAUAAUGGGUCAGCGACUUACAUUCAGUGGCGAGGUUAACCGCAUAGGGAAGCCGAAGCGAAAGCGAGUCCGAACAGGGCGAUUCAGUCGCUGGGUGUAGACCCGAAACCAAGUGAUCUACUCAUGGCCAGGAUGAAGGUGCCGUAACAGGUACUGGAGGUCCGAACCCACUAAUGUUGAAAAAUUAGGGGAUGAGCUGUGGGUAGGGGUGAAAGGCUAAACAAACUUGGAAAUAGCUGGUUCUCUCCGAAAACUAUUUAGGUAGUGCCUCAAGUAUCACCAUCGGGGGUAGAGCACUGUUAUGGCUAGGGGGUCAUCGCGACUUACCAAACCAUUGCAAACUCCGAAUACCGAUGAGUGCGAGCUUGGGAGACAGACGUCGGGUGCUAACGUCCGGCGUCAAGAGGGAAACAACCCAGACCGCCAGCUAAGGUCCCAAAGAUUGGCUAAGUGGAAAACGAAGUGGGAAGGCUAAAACAGUCAGGAGGUUGGCUUAGAAGCAGCCACCCUUUAAAGAAAGCGUAAUAGCUCACUGAUCGAGUCGUCCUGCGCGGAAGAUGUAACGGGGCUAAGCCAGUCACCGAAGCUGCGGAUAUGCGUAAGCAUAUGGUAGGAGAGCGUUCUGUAAGCCUGCGAAGGUGUCUUGUAAAGGAUGCUGGAGGUAUCAGAAGUGCGAAUGCUGACAUGAGUAGCGAUAAUGCGGGUGAAAAGCCCGCACGCCGUAAGCCCAAGGUUUCCUGUUCAACGUUCAUCGGAGCAGGGUGAGUCGGCCCCUAAGGCGAGGCAGAGAUGCGUAGCUGAUGGGAAGCAGGUUAAUAUUCCUGCACCGUCGUUAGAUGCGAUGGGGGGACGGAUCGCGGAAGGUUGUCCGGGUGUUGGAAGUCCCGGUUCUUGACCUGGAGAAGGCUGUUAGGCAAAUCCGGCAGCGUAAUUCAAGGGGUUGAGACGAGCGAGCUUGCUCGCGAAGCAAUCGGAAGGGGUCCCAAGAAAAGCCUCUAAGCUUCAGUCUAACGAGACCGUACCGCAAACCGACACAGGUGGGCGAGAUGAGUAUUCUAAGGCGCUUGAGAGAACUCGGGAGAAGGAACUCGGCAAAUUGGUACCGUAACUUCGGGAUAAGGUACGCCCUAGUAGCUUGACUGUGAACAACAGAAGGGCAAAUGGGUUGCAAAAAAAUGGUGGCUGCGACUGUUUAAUAAAAACACAGCACUCUGCAAACACGAAAGUGGACGUAUAGGGUGUGACGCCUGCCCGGUGCUGGAAGAUUAAAUGAUGGGGUGCAAGCUCUUGAUUGAAGUCCCAGUAAACGGCGGCCGUAACUAUAACGGUCCUAAGGUAGCGAAAUUCCUUGUCGGGUAAGUUCC